rnacentral:lncRNA from 10 species
CCGCGAAUGGUUCUGGGCUGUCAAAACACGCGGCGGCGUGUUCAGUCCCAAUAACUCGCGUGAUGAUUAAUGAGCAGCUUGAUAAUUUAAUAUCGCGUGUGAUUAAAUUAUAAGGCGUGGGGGAGGGGAGCUCUGCGCCACCUCGGCAGCCCCGCCGACGCCGACCAGCUAACCGGACUGGGCUGCGCGCGGAGCCCCCUCUUCCCGUGCACAGUGCGGGGCGAGGCUUGGCGAGCGGUGGGUCUGCGCCUUCCCAAGGUCAGUGGGUCUGGAGAGGGGAGGACGGCGGGACUGGGGGUGGCGGAAGGGAUGUCUUGCAGAGAGGAGGAGAGGUGUGGGCUCAGGGUAGCUCUGGUCUGAGCCGAUGAGCAGGGCGAGUCAUCGACUCUUUCCCCGGCAAAGGCGCGUGGAAGGCUGGAAAAUGGCCUCAGGCAAGGGAAGAUUUGUUUUUAAAAAUUCCUCUUUUCUCUGCCACGGGGGCUUAGAGAGUCCCUAGGAUUCGGAGACCCCUGGGGGGAAGGGGCGCCCCUCUGAGUCUCUCUCUGGAUCCCAUCCCCCCGACCCCGCCCCGCGCCUUGACUUUGUGGGGUUUCCCCGCAGGCCGGGCCGAGGUGGCGGUCGGGUUGGGCCACCCCAAGCCCCUUCUUUUCCCCAGCCCGCAGAGCCCGGCCUUGCCUAGUGCUCGGCGGGGUUCAGGCAGGUCCGGGGGAAGAGGGAGUGGAUGAAGCCUGCGAGAGCCGGAAGCUGCGGGGAGGCAGAGAGACGCCCGCAAAACUCUAGGCGCAGAGUCUCCGGGGUUUCCAGCCGGAUUCCUAGGGGAGGCGCGAAAACCCGAUCUAAACUGAGGUUACUGGAGGGACUCCUGGCCGGCACUCUUUUCUCCUGAAGAGGUCGUUUAGGGGGGCUCAGGCGUGGCCACUCCUUCCCCUGGAAGAAGUGUGAGCGCAGGGCCCUCGCCGGGUGAGGGGGCCGGCGGCGCUCACACUGUCCCUGCCGCCGCGGCACAGUCCUGCCCCGGCCCAGGUAGGCGGUUGCUUUUGCUGCUAUGCAGAGCCAGGUCUGCUCCGGGGGCUGCAGCCUCAGAGGGGUACCUCGAGAAACCACUUGCGGGACACAGGGAGAGUCGCCUCUUAUUCCAUGGCUCUGUCGAAGGGCUGAACUUUUAGCCCGAGGAGGGCAGGCCCUCGACAGGUAGGGAUGUCCCCAGAAGACCCUAGGAAACAACACCUUGGGGUGGGGGGCGGGGGACGGGGGGGUUGUUCAGACCCAGAGCGGGAGGGUGAAAAUUAAAGCGUCCUGACCAGGGCUCCAGAGGGCUCGGCGUCCAGGCUGUGCUGGCUGGAUUUUCAGCUGGGAAAUGGCAUUCGAAAGGGGACCCGGUGGGCUGAACCCAGGCUGCCCGCUUUCCUUCACCCAGAGAGGCCCUGCAGAGCGCCAGAACGGCGCGCCUGGUGUCCGGUGCUUCGGGCUCCAGGUGCAGUGGCCGAACCUUCCUCCUAGACAAAGAUGGAAGCUUCCUAGGUUGGGCUCCUUGGAUAUGCAGCCAUGACCAUUUCUCUCCCAGCUUCUCCAGAUAUUUGGAGGUAACACCAAGGAAGGGGAAAAUCAUGAACAACCAAAUGGGCUUGUAAACAGAGGUCACAGUAUAGAAAAAAUAUAUGAGUGUGUGUGUACGCGCCUGUGUGUCUGUGUGUCUGUCUGUGUGUGUCCUCUCAAAACACCCAGAGAGAAUAUGUAAACAAAACCUGCCUAGCUAGAGCAGAAACAAGCCACAAAUUGGUUCUAGGAGGCUCAGCCUGAAAUGCCCCAAAUUAGCAGAGGAUGUAGGUUGUGACUGCAAUUCCAGGAUAUUUGGAACACACAAAACCCUUCUUAGGAAAAAAAACAGUAAGUCAGGGGUUGGAGGGUGGGGGGCAGAGGAGAAGUGCUCCGAAGCUGCCCCGCGUCCUGGGCCCCCAGCGGCUGCAGACCUGGUUGCAUCUUUCUCCAGGGGCCGCACCUCUCUGUCCUGGCCCAAAGGCCCUGAGAGGAGGCCACUCCCCUCAAGGUGAGUUAGUGGUAACUAAAGAGGAUUUAUGGACAAGGCUGUUGCUUGCGGCCGCCUCUGCAGCCGGAGUCAUUUUAAGGAGAAGCAGCCUCUGAUAUUACUGCUGACGCUCCACCUCGGGGUACUGACCUGACCAAAGGCCAACGCUCUGGUUCCCGCAUGCCGCUUUUGUCCUUGUUAUGAAAAUCAUUCCUUAAAUUUGCUCCUCAUCUGUGCUGCUCUCAGACACAAACUGACCCCCUUAUAUCUGGUGCCACCAAAAAUAGUGGCUGGGCCCAAGGAGAACAAUUUAAAAGCCCAGGACUAACCUGUUUCUCCCAAAGGUACCACACCUAAUUACAGCAUUAAUAGUGUGCGCCUGGUGGACGCAUUAUAUUUCCCAGGAAUUACAUUUGUUUUCCAGAAGCUGGACUGGGAAGGUCCUAGACAGAAGUGAGUCCUUGGAAGAAAGGACUGAGCGUCUCAGUAAUGACAUGGAGGUGGGGAGGGGGUGGGAUAAGGGACUCCAAACUGGGUUGUAUUUCCCAGAUUAUCGUCAGUCUGCUGCGUGACUGAUGCCAGGAGACUAACAAUUCCCAAAGUUGCGAAAGGAAAAACAGUUAGUCUUAUACCCCCGUCCACAAGAUCACUCAAGUCUAAUGAUUUCGGACACCUGCAAGAUGAGUCGAUCAGUGACGCGUGGGGUGGCAUUGUUCGCUCGACGUGCCAGGACGCCAGCGGUGCUACCUUUUCCUGUCUCCAGAGCGCGAGUUGGCGCACAUUGAUUUCACCCCUCGCUCUCCGCCCCGCUGCCGAACACCAUUUAGGCCAAGAUCGGGUAUAAUGGGAAACACCAUCAGCAGACAAUUACCCUUUCAGAGGAUUCACUUCUCCUCACAGACACUGUUAUUUGAGAAAUAGGAUCAUUUGAUUUCAUAUUGCACUAAAUAACACCCAGCCGGUUCAAAUUGCCAGCUUCUUAAAAACCGCCCAUUGGAAUAAAUUGCAUCGGCCUCUUUUGCUUUUCAGGGCAAUAUGAUGGGCACCGGGCAGAACUUGGAAAAAUAACUACAAAGCCAGCCCCGAGCCGUGGCUAUUGGUAGGGACAGCCCUGCCACCCCGCAGGCAAAGGCAUCCAGCCAUCUAGUUCCCUGCCACCGCCCCCUCCACCCGCCAACUUUGAGAUGGUUCAACCUCUUGACUUUGGAAUUAAAAUGCACAGCCCCAGCCACCCCAAGGAAGCGCUUAGAGCCACAAGGCGCUUUCGUGUUGAGCAGGGAAAGAUGGGCAGGUGUGCGAGACACGCAUUUCGGUGUGCCCUGCCACAUUGCUUGCAGCGUUGGCGCGUUUGGACAGCGCCUCCGGUUUGGGGCUCUGAGGCCGGGGAGUGCGCCCUCCAGCUUCGCGGGUCUGGGGUUCCCAGGGCCAGACCAGCCGCUACACUCUGCACACCAAUGCGCCCUCCAGGCCUGCCGGUCGCGACGUCCUUCUCCGCUCUCAGCACAGGCGCCAAGCCGGGAGUCAGGGCUUCCGGGUCCAGCUGCUGACAGAAGGAGGAGCGAGCUGCACUGGGGCUUCAGCACCGAGUCCAGAGGGAGAGAGAGGCGAGCGGGGUGAGCGGCCACCGGCGAGCUGGGGUUCGCUGCACACCCAUCACCACAGACAUUUCAAAAAGAAUCAAGCCUUUUGAAGUCUGCCAGAGCUGCGGUUUGUUAAUUGACACUGUUCAACUGAGUGACAAUUGUUCCGCUCAGUGGGGGCCAUCCACUCCCUUCCUCUCUCCCCCUCCUUUUUUUUUUUUUUUUUCUUAUAAAAUAGGAAUUAACUCCUUGGUUCUCCGUUCUUCUGUGCCAAGGGGCAGGAUUUAUUUAAGACGGCAAGGGCUUUGGCGAUUCUGUGCGUUGAAGUCUUUCUCACAUUUGCGUGAAUGUACUUCAGGAAGGCCGUGUUAAAUUCUCUCUCUCCAGAUCCCAGAGGGUCGCCGCUGCACCCCUGUUCCGGGCAUGAGCUGGAAAGGCCCUCUUAGUGGGUCCUGUGACCUGGAGCGAGUUAGUCUGAGACUUUGGGGACAGGGUGGGAGUCUUUCUCCUUCCUUGACACUGGGAGGAGCCAGGGAGCAGGGGGUUGUGGGUAUGCGGCUAGAGGGAAGGUUCCAGACACGUCGAGAGUGGGAAACUUAAAUUCCCCUCUCUGGUGUAGGCGCAGGCUUUAGCUCCAGGAUCUUUUCUGGAAGAGACUGGGGCAGCAUGAAUGUGCUGGAAGAUUAGAGGCUGCUGAUGCUGAAGGAAGGAGAAACGAGGAGGAAGUGUCCCUGUGGACAAGUCAUCUCCCUUCAUUUAAGCCAGGCCAGUAGUCCGGGAGACAUUCUGAAUGAUGCAUUAUCCUAGGCACCAGAAAGUAUCUAACAUUCUCAUGGACAGCAGGGAAAAAUGAGCACAUGAGACAGGGGAAGAUUCCAGCACCUGUGAACAUGUUUGUGCAGGUUUCCAGUCAGUACAUGGAUAUCCCUCAAGCCUUUGAAUCCAGUCUCCUGUGUUGUGAUUGGACCGUUUGUCAUUAGGUUUCCAGUGGCAGAGUAAUGCUGUGGGAGAACUGGCUACGAUGGCCGCAGGAGGUGAAUUAAGUAUUGUUGUGUUUUUAGUAGAACCACUAAAGGAAGAUCUGCAGGCAAGUUGGAUGAGUAUAAGAGCCAAAGAUUGACAAGACUUCCUCAGAUGCUCCUACUGACCAGUGGGGGCACUUCUACAGCUCCCCGAAUAUGUUCUCCCUGCAACCCCCACCACUUUUUAAUUAAAUGGCCAGAACUGCCUUUUUGUAUCAAAACUUAUUUUAGUCUAUCAAUCAAAGGCUUCUAUAGCCCACCUCAUGGCAAAGGAUAUCAGAGAGGUAAAAGAUAAUUGUUUUGACAUAUUUAUUAUCACAACUAGCGACUCUUUCUGCAUUCACAUUGGCUGGUAUGCAGAAAAGGGUGCUUUACAGGAUUCUUGGAAAUGUGUAGUGGAUGCUGGCUCUAGGGGAGGCAGAAUAGAGUGUGGGUUCUGCCAUGGGUCACAUCCGGGUUUUAAUUCUGCCUCUGCCACAUGACCUUGAGCACACUGGAAAACCCUAUUAGAUGUGCAAGAAGGCUUCCCCAUCUGUAAAGGUGGGUGACUUAGCAACUUUAGCAAUGCUUAAGUCACCCGGUUGUUGUGAGUAAUACAUAAGUUAAUGUAUGCUAACUUUCUAGAAAGUUUCCUGGCACAAAGUUGUAUUUAAUAAAUGAUUUUUAAAACAAGCUCUUUUUUGGGGGUUAGUUGCCAUCUGAUCAUCUAAUCACACCACUGUUCUUGUAGACUGUGUGUAUGCAUUUUCUAUUCAGCAUCAGAAAAUAUACAUAGAAGCCUGCAACUCCUAAAGAUCGGGAAGAAAUCCAGAGGAUCUAGGAAGACUGGCCAUUCUGUUAAUUGAAAAGAAUCUUUUGGUGCCAAUUUGAGGGAUUCAUAAAGAAGAUGAGCCAUUUAAGCCAUAACAGAGAGGAAUUAUCUUUAAUCAUUGAAAUAACAGAUGAUCUGGUUAUAACAAUUGGCAGAAGCUCCUGGAUGUGGCUCUCCCUUCUACCUAGGGCAUUCAACCUCAAAGUGCCUACCGCCUGGGCAUUCCCACUGCUGCAUCAUUACAAUUUCUUGUAAAUUUGUAAAGAAGCCCCUUUCCUUUUGGAUGACUCCUAGUUAUUGAAAGUUACCCUUUUUGUCCUUCUCUGAGUUCCAACCACACUGAGACUUGAUCGUCAGAUACGAAUGUUGGUAAACACUCCUUUUUGUUCCAUCUUUAUCCCUUGAUCAAGCUUCUCGUGCAAUAGUACCCCCCGAAAUAAACCAAGAGUAAUCCUUCCAAUCACCUCUUUCUCUUCCAAAGGGUAUUUAUUGGUUGAUAAUAGUACAGAAUAGUACAGAAUUAGCAGAGUCCUUGAACACUGGGUGGAGUAAACAUCUCCUGAUGGACUCUUUAAUUGAGUUGAAGCACCCUGACGAGGGGGUCUUAAUCAGCCUUUUCCAGUUAUUAAUAGUGAUUUGUCAGAAAGCCAAAACUAAGGGAUUUUGGAAAGAACCAAAAGAACUCAGUAUCUUUACAAAACUCCUCUCUCAAAAUUGGAAAGAGAAAAAAAAUACCUGGAAAAAAUUAAAGAAAGACAAAUACCAAAGAAAUCUGGGAAAUUGCUGGAAAUGAAUGUGCAUACAGAUGUCACUUUUCUGAAGGCAGUUAGAUUCUUGAGUUUCAGUUCACUCAUCAUAUUAAUAUGUGC